rnacentral:lncRNA from 1 species
CAGUGCUUGUUGAUUCUUGGUCGGUUUUAGUUCCUCUUCCACUUCUCGAUUCGCUUCGAGCACUGGAUUUGGUGGCCACUUUGCGGGGUCUUUCAGCCACUGUGGACCAUUUUCCCAAAGGUCGUUUCCAACAACACUUCCACCGCGACUACCUAAGUCAGCAGGAUUUUGUUUCGUUGGUACGUGAUGCCAUUUCACACGAGUGUGGGUUUGGAUCUUGGCAACGCGGUUGGCAACGAACUGGCGAUAUUCUCCUUGACCAUUGAUCCAGUAGAGCGCUACUGUGGAAUCCAACCAGCAAUGGACCGACGAGACUAAUUUUUGAUCGUUUUCAUUCUCCACGUUUGAUAACAAGUUCACUGCCAUGUGUCCGGCAACGAGUUCUAGACGAGGUAUGGAGAGAUUACGCUUCGCCAAUCGAGAUUUCGCGCACACCAACCCUUGCGUUGUUCCAUGUUCUUGCUCUACAACUGCAUAUACCACGGCCGACACUCCAACUUUGCUUGCGUCGCCAAAGGCAUGAAGUGUGAUCGCUGCAACGAGCUCCUGGUGGGGAGCUAAGGAUCGUGGAAUCUCGUAACUUUGUGGGAGUCCUGUGUACCACUCUUCACCAUCCCAAGGAAUACGGGCUUCACACAUUUCUCGGAAGAGAUUCUUUCCUUGCAACGUCAUAGGAGAGACCAACCCUAGUGGAUCGUAUAUUUUGGCAAGUUGGGAUAACACACUUCUCUUGGUUGUGCCAUGACCUUCGUGAUCAAGUGUAACGCUUAGACUGUCUUUCGACUUGUCCCAUGAAAGCCCAAGCAGUUUGGUCUGCGGUUUCUCAUCUCCAAGCUCUUGCUUCGCGAAUGUUAUUUCCUCGUCAUUCGUUGUUGGACUUUCCACUUCCUUCACAUUCGAGUGCCAUUUGUGCAGUUUGAACGUGGCGUCUUCGAAGAUUUCUCUGGCUUGACUCUUCUUUUCCUUUACUUCCGUUAUGGUCGCUCCCCCCGUCAUAAGGUCGUCAACGUAAAGGUUCUUGCGUAUCUCUUCCACGAGUUCAGGACGUUUUGUCUCCCAUGAUUUCAAAUGUUCGUUCAAUACACCGUUAAGAAGGAAAGGCGAACAUGUGAGGCCAAACAACGCUCUUGUAAAUCGGUACACGACUGUAUCAUCGCUUCGAGGUGCUUUCCAAUGAAACCUGAGUGCAUCACGUUCAGCUUCUUUGAUUCUCACCUGAAGAAAUGCUUUCUCAAGAUCGCCAGUGAGUAGGAUAGGGAGGAAUCGGGAACGAACCAAGAUGGACCAAAGAAGAUUUUGCAACGAGGGACCGGGGUUUAAACAAUCGUUCAAGGACGGCGAUGUCCUGGAUUCCUUGGCGGAAGCAUCGUAAACAAUACGCAGCUUUGUUGUUUCAGCCGUGUUUUUGACAACCGCUUUGUGUGGAAUGUAAAAUUCCUUGUCACUUGCUUCGUGUGGAGCCAGUUCGAUCACCCCAUACUCCAACUGCUGAGUAAUUAUGUCAUUAUACUGGUCGUAUUGAUCACUGGCCUUCAGCCGCUUUACCAAGUUGUCUAAGCGUCGACGACUCCCCAUUUCAUUGGUUGGCAGAGGGGGGUUAUUUGAUCUCCAGGGCAAGCCAGUUUCGUACCAUCCUUCGGGGCUUCUUUCGAGUUGUUCUUGAAACUCUUCGUAUACAGGAAGUUGAUCGUUCUCUGCGCUGUCUGCGAGAACGAGUACGUCUAGACGGCAUAGCUUGUCGAAAUCCAUUUGCGAUGUCUGAGUUAAGAACAUUUUCGUCUUGUCAAACUCGGCCCCAGGACUGAGGAUCAUCCAUCCCAACUUGGUCCUCUCCGCCACUGGUUCUCCUUCUCCCCCGAUAAGAGGUUUCUUUGCUGUCUUUAUACGGGCAUAUUUACCGCUUCCGAGGAUGACGUGAAUGGGUAGUUGACUUUUCGUGUCGUGAUCGUCCAUAUGUACGGCGUUGAGGUGUUGAUAACGCUUUAUCAACUUCUCGUACUCAGGGUUUUCAAUGAACAAGAGCUCUUAUCGACCUUGUUUAAUCUCGUCAUCAUUUCGUGUCUUCCGUCGUAGGAAGUGAUGGUUACGUCAUAUUGCUCGACCUUUGCUUUGCGUGAUGUCAAGAGCAUAUCAAUUUGUUGAUCUUUAAUUUCACUCGGCUUGAUGACAAGUGCACUAAUUAAUUGAGCUGAGGCAUAAGAGCUCCCGGCGCCAGAGUCUAUCAACGCGCGACAUGUUAAACCAUUUACUUUAAUCACAACUACAGGAAAUAUGCCCUCACCACUGCCACCAUCUGUCAUCAACUUCUUAUCACCGGACGCAUGUUUAGCUUGAUCACAAAUGGAUGAGUGAUGACGUUUGCCGCAUUGGCUGCAGGCAGAUUUACUUGUACAAUCAGCAGCGCGAUGGGGUUUCGUUGCGCAAUUAAAACAAAGACCCUUUCUUGCCAGUAUUUUCUUUCUUUCGCCUACAUCACUAACGUUUUCGCAUUGGACGGCUUUAUGGCUCAAAUCACCGCAGUAAACACAUCCCCUGGGCACAAAUCGCUGAUUUUGAGAAUGGAAGAGUUUUCUUGCAUUGUUCUCCUCCCGUUCCCCUCCAGAGCUAGUUACGGGGUUUCUCUUUACCCAUUGAUUCACGGCAUCAGUUAGUUUGAUAAAAUCCCAGGCAUCCCACUCAGGGUCGUUGCGCACCAAAUCCCCCCGAAUUCCCGAUAGUUUAUCAAGGGUCAUUGAUACGUUCCCAUUAACAUUACUAAGUUUGCCCAUCGUCUCGAGCGCUUGAACUGAAUGCGUAAGUUUAUCACAAAAGUUAGCGAUCUUACGGGGAUUGGCUCCCGGAAUGUUUGGUAAAUCCAAAAUUUCCUUCACAUAGCAUUUCUCUAUUUCUGACUCUUUGCCGUAUUUAUCUUUCAAAAUUACUUUUGCUCUAUUAUACCCCUCAGGGCUAAAUGGAAGAGAUUCGACACCGCGUUUUACGUUUGGUUCAAGCAGCUCUAACAGAUACGUAAACUUCGUUAUUGGCGCUAACAAACUUUUGUCAAUCGCUUCAGUGAAUUGUCCCCAGAACUUUGGCCAGUCAGUAAAAGAGCCACCAAACUUUGCGAUAACGAGUUUGGGUAAUUUUGCAGUCCCAGCCGAAAAUACUUCGGAUUCUUUACAUUCCUUUUGAUGUUUGGGGGCUGAAGACGAGGCAGAAGACAGUUCGGCUUGCAUUUCCAUUCUCUUUUCAUGCAGUAUCAUUUCAUGCUUUAACUCUUCCUCGUGCGUCACAAACUUUUCGGCCUUUUUGGCCUCAGCAAGAAAAUGUUCUAGGUUUUGAAUAGCCGCGUCAGCGGGCUCAAACUUUAAAUCUAAGUCAUCGUUCCAUUUUUUGAUUUCUGAAAGCUCUUCUUUGUUUGUGAUUUUAAAUGCCUCAACAGUGCGUCUGCACUCAUUGGCCUCGUUGGCCGUUGUUUGUAACGCGUCGAGGUGUCGCUUAAUUGCUACUCGCUUACCUGAGCUCAGCAAUGUUUUUGACUUCUCUGUUGCGAUUUCCAGCUGCGUUAGCUUCGUUUCGAGAUUCUCCAACUCUUUCCCGUCCAUAUUCAUAUCACAGAUUCAGCAGAAUCCCGUUCAGGAGGUGCCACUAUGUCGAGAAUUCGCCUCCAAAAUGUAGUCCUCGACAAGUCACAAAUGUUCGAAGUAACAAAAAUGUAUAUUCAAACAAAACAUAAAAUUUACCAAAGAUAUAUAACAAAAUUAAAAGGUUCACAAUGGUCACGAUUACGUAUAGAUAGAUAGCGCACGGGCUAUUAUCUCUCUUUCACAA